UGAGGAACAACCUCGGGAAACUGAGGAUAAUUCCUCAUAGGUGAGAAUUUCUGGAAUGAGUCUCAUUGAAAGAUUCUUUCCUGUUGCUGGAAAGAAUGCCUAAAGAAGGGUCUGCGGUGGAUUAGGUAGAUGUUGAGGUAACGGCUCAACAUGCCUAUAAUCCGUAUCGGCUAUGGGAGUAGGAGCCGGGAGAUGGACACUGAGACAAAGGUCCAGGCCCUACGGGGCGCAGCAGGCACGAAAACUCCACAAUGCGCGCAAGCGUGAUGGGGGAACUCCAAGUGCUUCUCAAAAGAGGAGCUUUUGUGGUAUGUAAAAAGUACCACGAAUAAGGGCUGGGUAAGACUGGUGCCAGCCUCCGCGGUAAAGCCAGCAGCUCGAGUGGUAGCCGCUGCUAUUGGGCUUAAAGCGUCCGUAGCCGGUCUAGUAAGUUCUCUGUGAAAUCCUUAGGCUUAACCUAAGGGCUGGCAGAGAAUACUGUUAGACUUGGAGCCGGGAGAGGUUGAGGGAAUUCCAGGGGUAGUAGUGAAAUGCUAUAAUCCUCGGAGGACCACCAAUGACGAAAGCACUCAACCAAAACGGUCUCGACGGUGAGGGACGAAAGCUAGGGUACCGAACCGGAUUAGAUACCCGGGUAGUCCUAGCCGCAAACGUUGCGGACUUAGUUCUUCUCGAACUUCGAGUUCGGGGAGAGCUGAAGGCAAACUGUCAAGUCCGCCGCCUGGGGAGUACGACCGCAAGGUUGAAACUUAAAGAAUUGGCGGGGG
rnacentral:rRNA from 1 species